rnacentral:tRNA from 1 species
GCCUGAGCAGCUCAGCUGGUUGAGCAUCUGACUUCAGCUCAGUUCAUGAUCUCACAGCUCGUGAGUUCGAGCCCCACGUUGGGCU